GAAUGCAUCUGAUAUGAGAUUUGAUGCUCCUCAACACUUCUGGAAUGAUUAUAGGAAAAAAGAACAAAAGUAUUGGAAGGAACAUAGUGUGCUCCCAAUUCACCUUGAAGUUGGAGCUUUGCUAAGGAAAGAGAUGGCAACUGGGAAUGAUUCAACAGUCCCCUCUGAAGCUGCCACUGAAGUUAUGAUGGACGUGACAGGUACUCAUGUUGAGGGAAUAGGGAACAAUGAUGGUGUUGACUAUGAACAUAUUGAAGAAGAAGAAAGUGUUCCUUCCACUCCCAUUGGUAGUACCAGCCGUUCGCGAGGAAGACCUCGUGGGUCCGUCAAUAGUGGCAGAGAAAAGAGGAAGAAGGGUGUAGCUGAAAAGGUGGUAAGUCCAUUGAAACAGAUUGCUAACUCAAUCGAGAAGAUGGUAAUGAGUGAAUCUCAGUCUGAAUUUGGGAGAGCCAUUAUAGAUGCUGUUGAUGCCAUUCCAGACCUCAAUUUUCAACAAAAGUUUAAGGCCAAGGAAUAUUUCAUGGCCAAGCGGAAUUCUGCCAUUAUCUUCUUGGGAACAAAAGUAGAAGAUAGGCGAAAUCUGCUUGAGAUGUACUUGCCAGAGAUUGAGAAGAAUUGAGGUGAUAAAAAUGACAUCGAAUAUAUCCGCUUGUGAUAUUGCAAAGUGUGAUUACUGUGGGAAAGGUUGCUCAGUUUUCACUUCUAAGUCAGGGUCACAUGUUGGAAGGAAAUUUUUUAAAUGUUCAAUGAAUUGCCACUUCUUCAUGUGGGUUGACCAUCUUAAGAUGUGUGACUGUGGGAACGGUCAGUGUAAGGUCAGAACUGCGAAAACAAGUGCAAAUUAUGGUCGAUAUUUUUGGUGCUGUCCACAAUCAACUGGGGUUGAAAACAAAGGUUGUGGAAUGUUUGAAUGGAUAUCAAGUUCAAGCCCAAGUUGUGAUACUUACCAGACUCCACCUAGGUCCAUAUGCUCAGAAACAUCAACUUCAUCAUCUCCUUCCCCUUCAUCAGACUAUAUCAAAGGAUACUUGAACGGUGCAAUAAAAGAAUCUGAGGGUCAUAUGAGGAUGUUGAGAGAUGUUCUUGACGUAGUCAAGAAGCUUGAUUUAAACAAAAAUGUAUGAUGAACUUUUUUGGAACUUUUUAGAAAGAAAAGUCUGAAGCCAUUGUAAUGAUAUUGAGUUCAUUAUCUAUUUUUUUUUUUUUCAUAGAAAGACUUAAUUAGCAUUUACUAGUACCUGGAUGGACUCAGUACUAUAUUCGAGUAUUUACGUGCUUCUUCUCUCAUUUGGUCCUAAGGACCUAUAUUA